rnacentral:rRNA from 1 species
UAUUUAUUUUAUUAUAUUUAUUUUUUGUUUAUUUAAUUAUUUAAUAAAAAUAAUUUUGUUGAAUUUUGUCUUAGUAUAUUUUGUAGAAUUGAUUUUUUAUAUUAUAGUUUAUUGGUAAUGUAAUUGUUUUAUGAAAUAUUAUUUUAAAUUUUUAAAAGUAGAUUUUAUUUAUUGUACCUUUUGUAUCAGGGUUUAUCAAAAUUUUAGUAUUUACUUUACUUGUCUCGAUUUGGGUUGAUUUAUAAAUAAUUUAUAGUUAAUGUAUCAUAAUUCUUAUUAAAUUAUUUAUAGAAAUGAGAUGUUAACCGUUUCCCAAGAUAUCUAGUUUCUUAAGAAAAAAUUUAAUUUUUUAAAGUUAAUUGUUUUUAUUUAAUUUUUUAAGUAUAAAUAUUAACUUAUUUAUUCUUUAAGGGAUAAGCUUUGAAGUUAAUAACCUAUAAUUUGUUUUAAUAAAAUAUAAUAGUAAGCUUUAAACCAGCUAUCUUUAAGAUUACGUUUUAGUUCAUUAUUUUUAUUUUUGAUUUUAUAACUAUUUUAGGUUUUUUAUUAAGAUUAUAAAUUUAAUUUUUAAAUUUUUGGAAUAAUGAUAGAAUUAGUAUAUUUAUUUGUAGAUAAUUUUUACCUUGUUAAUUUAUUAUAAGGAACUAGGC